rnacentral:rRNA from 1 species
AGCGAACGCUGGCGGCAGGCCUAACACAUGCAAGUCGAACGAACCUUUCGGGGUUAGUGGCGGACGGGUGAGUAACACGUGGGAACGUGCCUUUAGGUUCGGAAUAACUCAGGGAAACUUGUGCUAAUACCGAAUGUGCCCUUCGGGGGAAAGAUUUAUCGCCUUUAGAGCGGCCCGCGUCUGAUUAGCUAGUUGGUUGAGGUAAUGGCUCACCAAGGCGACGAUCAGUAGCUGGUCUGAGAGGAUGAUCAGCCACAUUGGGACUGAGACACGGCCCAAACUCCUACGGGAGGCAGGAGUGGGGAAUCUUGCGCAAGGGGCGAAAGACUGACGCAGCCAUGCCGCGGGAAUGAUGAAGGUCUUAGGAUUGUAAAAUUCUUUCACCGGGGACGAUAAUGACGGUACCCGGAGAAGAAGCCCCGGCUAACUUCGUG